rnacentral:lncRNA from 1 species
AUGAAAGCUUGGCUAGGAGAAUUUUCUGAAAAAAAGUCUUUUGAAUGGCUCAGCAGGCUGGACCAGGGGUUUCAGUUUUACUACCCAGGUGCAAAUGUGGUCCAGAUGCGUUUCCUAAGAUUACACAGUCGCACAGCUGUGCAGAAGGUGACUCAUUCUUGUCAUUCUGGACACACUUUGGGCCAGACAGGCAGAGAAAUCAAAUUUCUCGCUGACACAAGAAAGCAAAGUUACCUUGGAGCACUCAAAGAGUGUGUGCCUGCACAGGGGACGGUAUCUGGAGCUCGGGAGGCUGUGUUUGAGUUUGAGGACCUUCAGCUGCUUCCUUUGAGGGAUAUGGCUUUAAUGGGAGGUGGAAACGUGACACACCAGUUUGGCUUCACUGUUGGGCCUGUGUGUUUCAGCUAGAAGUUCGACGAAACUGUGCUGUGGCGAAGGACACACAGGUCUAGGACACACAUCCCACUUUAAAACACAAACACCAAGAAGACAAUUAGAGUAUAUUUUCAUGCUUUGGAGGACUCCUCUUGUUUUGGGUGAUUUUUUUUUGUUUGUUUGUUUUUUGGUGGAAUUUAAAAGCUCUUGUGUUCUUUCACAGAGCGGUCAGUUUUAUUGACAUUUAGCUAGCUUGUACUGGGUUAUUUAAUGUUUUCCUUAUUCAUAUACAAUGUUCUUAUUUUUUCGUUAUGUACUGUAUUUAGGACCUAUGUUAUAACUUGUUACUGUUGUACAGUAUAUAAAAGACUGACUGGCCUGCUUCAAACCAUUGGCCAUGUAUGACCAGGUCAUUGAUUGUACUCCCACUGCUUAGGUACUGUAAGUGAAGUCAUGUGUCACUUUUCUCACGGUGCUGAUAAAGUUUUAUUGAAAGAAGAACAUUUAAUUUCAAAUACAGUAGAAACAGGGCAGUCAUAUAAUCUUAUAAUUGUAUGUCUUUAACAUCUCAGGUACAAUAUGAUAUUUUUAUAACAUACACAUGGACACUAAAGCUACAAUAUGUUGGUGAGUUUAUGCACUUAAACUAAGAAUUAAAAGUUUUUACCAUAAGCUUUAACGGAUAAUUUCUUCAAGAUUCAAACUACCAGUGGAGUGAUCUAAUAACAUAUAUGUGAAGCCUAGGCUCGAUGCUCACCAAUUGGCUGCCACAAUAACAUUACCUGGUAGUAGAAAUCUUGUGGUGUUGGGUUAGCUUGGCUCAAAUUUAAAACUGGUCAUGACUGUCAGAACACAUGUAACAUGUAACCACAGACUAGUCAAAGUACCUAUGCUGAUUUCUGUUUAAUCUGUGUACAUAGGACUGACACUUCAGUGAAGAUACUGUACCAACAUUAUUUACAGUUGAUGCCACAGACUAUAUACUGUACUGUACUAUCAAGCCAUAACUCAGACACCAAAUGCAUAUUGUUCCACAACUGUCCACUUCAACCCAUACACUAUUUCUAUCUCUCCGCUUAACGCUUGCUAAAAAGGGCAGUAUUCAUUUGUUAAGAUGUAUAGGGCUUUUUAAAUAAAAAUACAUAUUAGCUGUUUUUAAAGAUUUAC